UACGAAGGGGGCGAGCGUUGUUCGGAUUUACUGGGCGUAAAGGGCGCGCAGGCGGCUAUCCAAGUCAGGCGUGAAAGCCCCGGGCUUAACCUGGGAGGUGCGUCUGGGACUGGGUGGCUAGAGUUCGGGAGAGGAGAGUGGAAUUCCCAGUGUAGAGGUGAAAUUCGUAGAUAUUCGGAAGAACACCAGUGGCGAAGGCGACUUACUGGACACAUAUUGACGCUGAGGUGCGAAAGCGUGGGGAGCAAACAGG
rnacentral:rRNA from 1 species